GCAGGCGAGAGAGGAACUUGACAGCAUGGUGGGAGCUGGAUUCACACCCACCACACCGAUAAACACGAGCAUGACGGCAGCGCAGCGUACAGCAGACAACGAUUAAGGAUAAUGUGGUGAAAGUGUGAGCAGAGAGACUGCUGCGAAUGCUCACACGUUAGCUCAUCGUCAUGAAUCGCCACCGUCUCGUCGUCCGCCCACCAGAGAGGGAAACAAAGGAAGCACAGAGAGUUGGAUCGGGACCAGAGUGUCGUGUUUGCCCGAGGAGACAAACCGCACUGGAGGCUUAUUAUGUGAAGUGAUGGUAACGACCUGGACUGAUUGCGGAGCUGAGAAGACUUCUGAUUCAGGGUUGAGGGGAAGGAGGGGGAGAACAGAGGAGGAGAUAAA
ensembl:lncRNA